rnacentral:rRNA from 1 species
UAACUAUAACGGUCCUAAGGUAGCAAAUUUCCUUGUCGUCUUAAUAACGACCUGCAUGAAACAUAGAACGAUUUGAUAGCUGUCUUGCACACACAUCAUGGUAAAAUAUUCAUCAGUACAAAUAAUAUGCUGCUGACACUAAAGGACAAAAAGACCCUUUGAAGCUUUAUAGGGAUAAAACUCAGCUUUAAAUUAAUUUACCAGAGUGAAGCUACUCUACGGAUAACAGGCUUAAUUUCCGCAAUAUCCAAGGUCACAUUAUCAAGAAUAAAGCACCUCGAUGUCGGCUUAUCUCAACCAAGGUAAGUAGCCCAAAUAUUGGUGGGAGUGCUCAUCCCGUAAAAAGGUACGUGAGCUGGGUUCAAUACG